rnacentral:rRNA from 1 species
GAUUUAAAGGCUAGCGUAUCCUGCAGUCUUGGCGGGGUUUUCGGACCUAUCGUUCGACGGGUGAGUAAUGCGUAGGAAGCUGCCCGAUAGAGGGGGAUACCAUUUGGAAACGACUGUUAAUACCGCAUAAUGUCUACAGACCAAAGUGUGGGACCUUCCGGCCACAUGCUAUCGGAUGCGCCUAUUUGGGAUUAGCUAAUUGGUGAGGUAAUGGCUCACCAAGGCGACGAUCUCUAGCUGGUUUGACAGGAUGAUCAUCCACACUGGAACUGAGACACGGUCCAGACUCCUACGGGAGGCAGCACUGGCGAAUAUUGGACAAUGGGCGCAAGCCUGAUCCAGCCAUGCCGCGUGUGUGAAGAACGCCUUCGGGUUGUACAGCACUUUCAGCGAUGAGGAAGGCUUAUUCGUUAAUAGCGGCUAAUUUUGACGUUACUCUCAGAAGAAGCACCGGCUAACUCUGUGCCAGCAGCCGCGCUAAUACAGAGGGUGCAAGCGUUAAUCGGAAUUACUGGGCGUAAAGCGCAUUUACGCGGUUGGUUAAGUUGGAUGUGAAAGCCCCGGGCUCAAUCUGUCAAAUGCAUUCAAACCUGGCCCACUCCAAUACGGGAGAUGGGGGUAGAAUUCCCUUGUGUACGGUGAAAUGCGUAUAGAUUCCGGAGUGAAUUCCAUUGGUCUAACGCGAGACCCCUGACCCGCAUAUUGACGCUGACGUGCCACUACGUGCGGAGCAUACAGGAUUAGAUACACUGCUAGUCCAAGCCAUAAACGAUGUCUACUAGCUGUUCCUGGUCUUGUACUGUGAGCUAGCUGCAUGCUAAUGCACUAUUCUUCCACCGCCUUGGGGCUAGCACCGUCGGCAUUAUAACUACUCCCACAUGAGUUUGAACGGGGGGCCAGCACUAUUCGCUGGAGGCAUGUGGACUCAAUUCCCACGCUAACGCCGUAUGAACCCAUACCCUACCUCCUUGACCCAUCAUACCGCUAAGAUAUGGCAGAUACUAGCCUGAUUGUGCCCUUCCGCGGAACCGUACGAUAUGUUGGCUGGCAAUGGCCUUGUCGAUUAGAUCGUGUUUGUGUAAUGUAGGGCUUAUUCUCCUGCAACGAUUGCUAACCCAUAUUCCCUUAAGUUGCCCACGAUUCAGUUCGGGACGUGUAGGAUGAACUGGUCCGUGACAUACCGGUAGAACUGCGGUGAACGUGACAGCUUUCGACGUCCAUGCACAGAACG